ensembl:lncRNA
CACACACACACAUAUAAACACACAAACACUUUAAAAUAAUAAUAAUUAAAAAAAUUGUUUUAAUAUUUAUAUUAUGUAUAUUUUAAGAAUAGAAGAAUAACAGUGUUGCAUUAUAACAAUGAUGAUUUCAGGGUUAUUGUGCUAACUGUAAAUCAAUCAAUCAAUCAAUAAAUAAUGGAAAAUGAAAAGCGAAUGAAAUCAUUCUGUUGCCUCAUCGGAAAUUAUUAUUAUUAUUUUUAGUUCAUGUUUCUUCAAUUGAAACAGCUGAACAAUUGAAACCCCAACAAUUCAAUAUAAACUCAAACAUUUCUCAUCAAAAUCAUCAGAUGUUUCACUAAAGCUCUUCUCAUUGUAUGUUAACAACUGACUCGUUUGCUCAUUUGAGUUCUUUAAAGAAACUGGUGUUUAAUGAAACAACUGACAACUUCCUGUGAGCCUUAAAAGAGCAAUGCAUUUAAAACGAGAUAUGUCGAGGUAAAACAAGCUUCUUCAUUUCACUUCCAUCGAUGCAGUCAUUGAGUGAUCGUGGAGGAACAUGUAAACAUGUUUAAGAUGUUCUGCUGGUUGUUGGUCAGAAGUUGCUAAACAGGAUGAGACACGCUGUUCCUAAACAAUGUCACGGCUUUCUACUUUUAAACCUCAUGUAUACAGUCAGUGUGUUUUGGAUGGUUACUGUUGCUGUGCGUCUUUGUGCCCCACUUCAGGCCGUCCUGUUUGGAAUGAGCUCUGGAGAUACUUUCACUCAGAAGUGGCUCUAUAUGAAAGCUCGGUGGGCGUCUCUGGAGACAACAGCUGCAGACUUUAACAAGCAGACCAGCGCUGGUAUAUCACACUCUAAAAAUGGUACAAUGAAGACGCGUAAUCCCAUAAGGACUGAACUGUGAUUGCCAUUAAGUGAUCCAUUAUUUGACAGUAAAUUUGGGCCUGGACUUGAGUGGCCUCGCAUGCCUCUUCAGCCAAUUGUCUGGAAGUUUCUGGACACUACGCUCAUGUUAGGUAUGGCUUAUACCCACAUAACAGGCUCAAUUCAUCACUCUAGAGGCUGAAUGUGAGAAAAGGAGUGGUAAAAAAAUAAAACACCUUUAUGCAACUAUUUAUGCUUUUAG